CUUACCUGGGCGCCAAGAAUUGAUCGUAAUGGUACCUCAAAGAUGACAAUAGUUGCUCAUGUAGUGUGGUGCUAAUCCAUGCUGACAAGGAAGAAGAAUGGACCAGAUUACAAGAUUGGAAUCUAAUUAUACAUAUUGCAGUAAAGAGAAAAUAACUUAUUCAUGAGACAUGAGUGCAGAGGGUGAAAUAAGCAGGAAUCCAAGAUAUGCCAAGGAGGAGCAGCUCUGGAAGCCAGAACAACCAUGGACUCAACAAGAAACUUCAGCAGUGUCAAAUGGGCUUAAGAGCACAAAAAUGAAAGUAUGAGUAAAACAUGAGGUUUGUAUUCAAUGUCCUUUAAGGGGAACUUCGCACGAUUAGAUUUAACAAUCAAAGCUGACUGAAAUAAUUGUGAUAAACAGGACAUUUGCCCAAUACAAGAGGGCAAUAGAGGUAUUUUUAAUCCAACUCCAGUCAGCAAAUAGUCUAAGAAGAUGAAUAAAAGUGUGUGGAAUUUCUGAGAACAAAAGGAUCCUUUUGCCACAGCUCUAUUCAUGAUUCAAGAAGGGUGUUAAACUGAAGAGGGCUUAGAGAAAAGCUGUGACUAAAGGACUUUAUGAUUUGCCUCUAUUCUAAAAGAAGAAGGAUUUCUGGCUGUUUAACUAACCAAAGAGAAGGUCAAAGGGUAUGCUUCCUAUGCAGGAGAAGAAAAUUGAUAAUAGAGGGAUCUCCAAUCUACUUUAUACAGACAAAAUGAGAUCGAUAAUAAAGUCUGGUAAAUGAACACAAGAAUGUUAAUGCAGUUUUUAGUGAACAUAGUUAAUCACACAAAAAACUUUGGGAGAAUUUUGUCAGCUCCAUGCCAGCAGCAAUAGAAACAGGGUAUUUUUCUCAAGCGUCUACAUUAUACUUGUGGGAAGUGGAAGUGGGAAGCAUUCUGGGAAAAUGUGUGACAUGAUGUGCAAAAUUUCAAACAGGAAUCAAUGUAGUCUCUACCAGAUUUUUAAUCUAUGGCUCUAUAUUGUAUAGCACCAUGCUUCUUUUGUCAUUGUUUUUAGUGAGUCAAAAUCUUCAUUCUAGAUUACCUGUGUUAAUUUUUUCUUCUCUGGAAAUCUGGAUUUUGUAGACUCAGGGUUCUGAAAUUUGUACAUAGAUUUGUUCCUGAUAGUUGAGCACAGAUGAAAGGAAUAAAAUACAGGUAGCUGAAUUUGAACUAAUGGUGGCUUUACUACUACAGAGCCAACAGUCAUGAAAUAGACCAGCUGAGCUUUUUUUAUUUGAUGAUAUUUUAAAGUGCAAACUCACAGGAAGUCAUAAGUGCUAAGACUAACAUGAACUUCUACCAGAAGUAACAGAAUAGAAACACCUCAUGAAUCAGUCUCGUCUGGAGUGAAUUAAUUAUUGGUUAGUUGUGUUUAAAUCUUUGGUGAACUAGUAAAAUAAUUUUUGAAGUUUACUGGAAAAUAAUCUUUUCUAUUCAAGAACCAUUUGACAAUAAUAAAUUAAU